GCACGCUGCAGAAGGCAGCAUUGAGGAGGAAUUGUGGCAGGCACAUCGGCUGCUGGAGCAGCAGAGCAGGGAGUUGCA
rnacentral:SRP_RNA from 1 species